CCUACGGGUGGCAGCAGUAGGGAAUAUUGCUCAAUGGGCGCAACCCUGAAGCAGCAACGCCGCGUGGAGGAUGACGGUUUUAGGAUUGUAAACUCCUUUUGUGAGAGAAGAUAAUUACGGUAUCUCACGAAUAAGCACCGGCCAACUCCGUGCCAGCAGCCGCGGUCAUACGGAGGGUGCAAGCGGUACUCGGAAUCACUGGGCGGAAAGGGUGCGCAGGCGGGCUUGUAAGUCAGAUGUGAAAUCCUGUAGCUUAACUACAGAACUUCAGUUGAAACUAUGAGUCUAGAGUGUGGGAGAGGUAGGUGGAAUUCUUGGUGUAGGGGUAAAAUGCGUAGAUAUCAAGAGGAAUACUCAUUGCGAAGGCGACCUACUGGAACGUAACUGACGCUCAUGCACGAAAGCGUGGGGAGCAAACAGGAUUAGAUACCCCGGUAGUC
rnacentral:rRNA from 1 species